rnacentral:misc_RNA from 1 species
GAAAUGCGAUACGUAGUGUGAAUUGCAGAAUUCUGUGAAUCAUCGAAACCUUGAACGCAAAUUGCGCCCUUCGGAUCUCCGAAGGGCACGCCUGUUUGAGUGUUGGUUUCAUCAUCUCCCCAACAAACAAACUCGUUUGUUUGCAGGGGGAACUGGGCUGUCAGCAGGCAGAGAUGUCUUCUGUCGCCUCAAACAUAGAGAAAGGUGGAUACUUGCAACGUGAAAACGGGGCAAAAAAAGCGUUCCAUCGAGCAGCAGGCUGGUGACUUUGUUCUCCUUUGCUGACUUGUUGGUGCGUGCCUAUCGUUCCAGCGUUCUUCCUCCUUCGAAGGAACCAACCGAUGGUCACCAACGACCAUCUAAAACAACGAACUCUUCAACCUCAAAUCAGGCGAGGCUA